rnacentral:rRNA from 2 species
AGGCCUAAUACAUGCAAGUCGAACGGUAGCACAGAGAGCUUGCUCUCGGGUGACGAGUGGCGGACGGGUGAGUAAUGUCUGGGAAACUGCCUGAUGGAGGGGGAUAACUACUGGAAACGGUAGCUAAUACCGCAUAACGUCGCAAGACCAAAGAGGGGGACCUUCGGGCCUCUUGCCAUCAGAUGUGCCCAGAUGGGAUUAGCUAGUAGGUGGGGUAACGGCUCACCUAGGCGACGAUCCCUAGCUGGUCUGAGAGGAUGACCAGCCACACUGGAACUGAGACACGGUCCAGACUCCUACGGGAGGCAGCAGUGGGGAAUAUUGCACAAUGGGCGCAAGCCUGAUGCAGCCAUGCCGCGUGUAUGAAGAAGGCCUUCGGGUUGUAAAGUACUUUCAGCGGGGAGGAAGGUGUUGAGGUUAAUAACCUCAGCAAUUGACGUUACCCGCAGAAGAAGCACCGGCUAACUCCGUGCCAGCAGCCGCGGUAAUACGGAGGGUGCAAGCGUUAAUCGGAAUUACUGGGCGUAAAGCGCACGCAGGCGGUCUGUCAAGUCCGAUGUGAAAUCCCCGGGCUCAACCUGGGAACUGCAUUCGAAACUGGCAGGCUGGAGUCUUGUAGAGGGGGUAGAAUUCCAGGUGUAGCCGUGAAA